GGGUUGGAUAACGGGGUGACGGACGUUUUUCAUCUGAUAUAUGUUACCAUGGCGGAUGGCAUGCUAUUGAACUUCGAUUUGGGCGAUGGAGUCGUUAAAACCACGCAGAAGUUCAAGGGCGGGACAUGGAAGGAUCGGCUCUCUAUAAAGAAAAUUGCGCUGCACCGCCAAAAUAAAUCCAAAGACCCCAACCCCAAGGUUCAGGGUCGUGGCGGACAGAAAGAUGGGCCGGCGAACCCUAAUAGAGUUGAGAUAUCAUCUCCUCGACCUCCCAAGCGGCAGAAAGUCGACGGCGAUUUUAAACCGUAUUCGGUGCCAUCGCUUCGAGCGGACGGCCAUAUCCCUACGUCUACGAAACUCGGUAACAGUAAUGACAGUGGUAAUACCCAAGGCAACCAAGCUCACAAGAACCAGAAUCAACCGCGCGAAGUCAUUUCCUCUCUUUUCUCCUUCAAUCCCACUCCUGUUUCUGCCGUCGAGCCACCGAAGCCAGAAGGAGCUGAGCCCGCCAAGCCCUCCAAUGCACCCCUCAUCGACAGAAUUGAUACAUUCACCUCCUUGGGACUAUCCCAAACGCUCGCAGCGCAUCUAAUGACAAAACUUGAACUUAAAGCACCGACGGCUAUUCAGAAAAGAGCUAUAUCUCAAUUGCUGAAGGAAGAGUGCGAUGCGUUCAUACAAGCCCAAACCGGGUCGGGGAAAACCCUAGCAUAUCUACUUCCAUUGGUUCAGCGGCUGAUUAAUUUGUCAAGAACCAACGAGGAGGCUUUCGAGCGGGCGAAUCAAGACUCAUCAGAUAACACUGCUGUGCACAGAGACUCGGGACUUUUUGCGAUCAUCCUUGCCCCUACGAGAGAAUUAUGCAAGCAAAUAUUCGUUGUGCUGGAGCAAUUGUUGCGCUGUGCGCAUUGGAUAGUUGCGGGUACGGUUAUUGGUGGAGAGAAGAAGAAGUCUGAAAAGGCAAGGUUGAGGAAGGGGUUGAAUAUUCUCGUUGCUACGCCUGGUCGGUUGGCUGACCAUUUGGAAAAUACAAAGGUGCUGGAUGUGAGUAAUGUUAGGUGGUUGGUCCUUGAUGAGGGAGAUAGGCUUAUGGAUUUGGGUUUUGAAGAGGAGAUUCAAAAAAUUGUGAGGAAGUUGGAUGAGAGGCAGAGAUCAAAGGGAAUCCCUGGUCUGCCUACCAAGAGAGUUACAAUAUUGUGCUCCGCAACUUUGAAAAUGAAUGUGCAGCGGUUGGGGGAUAUCAGUCUCAAAGACGCUGUGCAUGUCCAAGCUGAUCAGGAUGACGAAGAUGGAGAAAUGAAAUUGAAAAGUACUGGUAGUAACCCUGAGUUUUCGGUACCUGCACAACUUAAACAAUCCUACGCUGUGGUUGCUGCCAAGUUACGACUUGUUACUCUCACGGCGUUGAUGAAACGGACAUUUUCCAGGAAAGGUUCUGUUAUGAAAACAAUAAUUUUCGUUUCUUGUGCGGAUUCCGUGGAUUUCCAUUUCGAGGUUUUCUCCAGGCAAGAUUCUGACAACAAAAGUGGAGAGAAAGAGGCCAAAACUACUAAAGCUUCACCGCCCGGCACCAAACCAGCAUCUAUCCAUGGCACAAUUGCGAAAUCAACAGCUUUUUCGAACCCUACCAAUCCAGUUACAAUAUAUAAACUUCAUGGUUCACUUCCUCAACAUAUCAGAACUUCAACUCUCUCUGCUUUCUCCCGACAAAGUGAAGCAGCUGUUCUCAUCUGCACUGAUGUUGCGGCUCGCGGCCUUGACCUGCCAAACGUCGAUUUCGUAGUCGAAUACGACCCCGCCUUCAGUUCAGAUGAUCACCUCCACCGAAUAGGCCGAACCGCAAGAUUGGGACGCGACGGCAGAGCCCACAUAUUCCUCCUUCCCGGCAACGAAGAGAAAUACGUCGAAAUUCUAAAACAGGGUUAUCGAGACAGCGGCGCUAAGAUUUCCCACACGGAUGUGAACGAGACGUUGAAACGUGGCUUUGGUGGAAACACUGAAACGACGAGUAAGGGUUGGGAAGACAAAGCAACAGAAUGGCAGCUUGACGUCGAGCGCUGGGCGCUUGAGAACCCGACCGUCCUCGAGAUGGCCAGACGAGCGUACCAGUCUCAUAUCCGUGCUUAUGCGACACAUAUUGCCAGUGAACGGGACAUGUUUAACAUCAAGGAUCUCCAUUUAGGCCAUUUGGCGAAGAGCUUUGCGCUGCGCGAUAGACCCGCUAAGAUCAAUGUGCCUGGUCUUCGACCUGGUAAAGAAGAUACAAAGAGGGAAUUCAAGGCUGACAGGAAGGGCACUAGGGAUGGCGUGCAAGUCAAUAACGCCACAAGUGCCUCUGAUGCGGUACGCAAAAUGCGGGAGAAAGUAAAGGAACAUAUGGCAGGCGCGAAUGAAUUUAAUAUCGCGUAGAAUAAUGGCUAAGGUUGGUUGCUAGCGUUAGUGCCGAAGUUCAUUUUUUCAUAACUAUCAUAAUAUUAAAGUAGAAGAAAAAAAUCAAUAACUUGCA
rnacentral:sRNA from 1 species